AAUAAAGUUGCUUGCAUUAUACAGAUCAGCACCUCGUCGGUGUUAGAUCGUUGGCGCUAAUUAUUAAUCUCCAAAACUCGAGUUGCUAAAAAUACGCAACCAAUUCACUUGAAGUGUAUAGAUAUACUAGGUCUCGAUUGUGACUCGACUCAACUAGUCUCACGCCACUUCGAAUAUAAUCUGGUCCAAUCCAGCAUCAUGCUAUUUCGAACAUAACUAAGCCCAAUCUAAUAUUUUCCCACAGAAUAGGAUGCUGGACCCUUUAAGCCAACAAUCGAAGCAUAAAUUAACAGUCCAAUCAUAUAACGAUAUAUUAAACUAGUAGUACGAUUUCACUGGUACUUUAAUAA
rnacentral:lncRNA from 1 species